rnacentral:rRNA from 1 species
AUGGGCGGUGCUGCUCGCGAGCAUGGCGGGUCACCGCCGCGCAAGCUUGCAUGGCACGACGCGAAGGCUGGCAACUCCAGCCGGGCCGUCGUCGAGCCAUGGCGAUCCAAGCAGGCGCGUGACCGCGGCUGCCUCUCCCGCAGCGGCGGGCGGAGCCUGUGGGCCCGCUUCGACAAGCUCAACGAUGCCCUUUUCCCGCACACAGUGAGGUGCCGGAUGGUUGAUUCCAAGCUCCUCUCAGUGGAGCGCGUGGUGGCGGCUGGAGUAGAAGGCACCGCCGACCGACUCGCCGCUGCAAAGAAGGACCAUGCCUAUGCCCUCGCGUGCCGCAAGUCGGCGGAGAUUUCCACCCUUCAUGAAGUUUCCUUCGUGCCGCCAUCCGUGGCGAACCUCUCAUCCCUUACCUCGCUCUUGCUUGCCGAUAACCAGUUGCAAGGAUUCAUUCCAGAUUUUGGUAAACUUUCAAGCCUGAAAAACCUCGAUCUCUCCACCAACAAUCUGUUAGGGACAGUGCCACCCUCAAUUUACAAUUUGUCUUCGCUAAACUUUCUUGGGAUGUUUGGCAAUAAUCUUGGAGGAACAUUGCCCUCAGACAUGGGUAACACACUUGCUAACAUCAACUUACUAUUUACGCAAGAUAAUCAUUUUUGGGGAGACAUCCCUGCCUCACUACAAAAUGCCUCCAGCAUGACGUAUAUCCAUCUAGGCAACAACUAUCUGACUGGGGUGGUUCCUUCUUUCAACUCCAUGGCAAAUUUGGAAAAUCUUUUCAUGGGGUCUAUACCUCCUAUCCUUGGUGAGCUACAUAGCUUGGUUGUUCUUAGUCUACCACAAAACAACUUUUCUGGGGAAAUAGCACCUUCCAAUGGCAACUUAAAUCAACUAGAAGAACUUUAUUUGCAAGAAAAUGAAUUGAGUGGAAUCAUACCUGAAAGUUUAGGCAGCUGCCAGAAGUUGUUAGCACUAAACAUUUCUUGUAAUACCCUUGGUGGAAGCAUAAGCGGACACGUGUUGGCUAUGUUGGAACAGUUAAGUUGGUUACUUGAUUUAUCACACAACCAACUCACAAUGUCCAUGCCACUAGAGAUAGGUAGCUUGAUAAACCUUGGUUCCUUGAACAUCUCCCACAACAAUCUCACGGGAAGAAUCCCGCCCACCCUUAGUGCAUGUGUUCGGUUGGAAGCACUUCAUGUAGAAGAGAACAUCCUGCAAGGAGACAUUCCACAAUCAAUAGCAAACUUGAAAGGCCUCAAAGUGUUGGAUUGCUCCCAUAAUAAUCUAUUUGGUACAAUCCCAGAGUUCCUUGGGACCUUCACAUCUCUGAUGUAUUUGAAUGUGUCCUUCAAUGACUUCCAAGGGCCAAUUCCCACUAGUGGAGUGUUUGCUAAUAGAAGUGGUAGUUUUACCCAAGGAAACCCACACCUGUGUGCAAACAUUGCAGUAGAAGAGUUGCCUAGGUUCUUUGCUUCAGCAUCCACACAAAAAUACAAGUUCGUCAUUCCUAUGAUGAUAGCUCUGUCAACUCUCGUUGCACUUGCUUUGAUCUUAGGGGUGUUCAAUUUUUGGUUGAGAAGGAGAUACAAAUCAAGUGACAGAAUUGGCCAUUCAUACAUGGAGAUGAAAAGGAUAACAUAUGGCGACAUAAUCAAAGCAAAGGAUAGUCUUUCUCUAGCCAACAUAGUUGGCUCCGGGCAAUUUGGGACUGUCUACAAAGGUUGCGGUUUCGCCCAUUCCUUCGUGCGCCGUCGACGGCCGCCGCCGUGCCUCGCGCGGGAGGAUGGAGGGCGCUCGCCAGGAGGUUGGAGGAUGUUCGCCGGGGCGAGUGCUGCGGAGACGGCGUGGCGAGGCGGGGCAGUGGCGGUUGUUGACCGGCCGUCGUGCGUCGCGGGGGAGGAUGGAGGACGCUCGUCGUGGCGGGCGUGGCGGGAGAGACGGGGUACGGCAGCCGCCGCCGUGACAUGCGGAUGGUCUUCCUGUCCGGCCAUCCGCGCAGUCCACACAGGCGAGCUGCCGAUCUGGCUGGGCUGCCUGGCCACGCAGCAGACGGCGGCGGUUCAAGCAACUCCUCGACGCAGGGUAAAGGGUUGGUGGCGCUGGAGUUGGUCGGAAUGGGCAGGCGGACGGUGGGUGACGCGACGCCGCGGCGCCGGCGCGAGGAAUACGGGCGGAUCCGGGGGCGACAGCGACCGAUCUGGCUGCUGGUGCGGCGGCUUGCUCCUGCUCAUCCAUAGAGAGACAGGGCGUGAGGGAGAUAGGAAGAAAGGAGAAGGAGCAGGGGGCGCAGGGUCAGGGACGCGGUCGCUAGCGGUGGCGGCUUCGGCGACCGGCUGGCAGGCUUGCCAGGCAAGGCUGAGUACACUAGCCUGA